UUGAGUGCAGAAAGAGGAGAGUGGAAUUUCCACGUGUAGCGGUGAAAUGCGUAGAGAUGUGGAGGAACACCAGUGGCGAAGGCGACUCUCUGGUCUGUAACUGACGCUGAGGAGCGAAAGCGUGGGGAGCGAACAGGAUUAGAUACCCUGGUAGUCCACGCCGUAAACGAUGAGUGCUAAGUGUUAGGGGGUUUCCGCCCCUUAGUGCUGCAGCUAACGCAUUAAGCACUCCGCCUGGGGAGUACGGUCGCAAGACUGAAACUCAAAGGAAUUGACGGGGGCCCGCACAAGCGGUGGAGCAUGUGGUUUAAUUCGAAGCAACGCGAAGAACCUUACCAGGUCUUGACAUCCUCUGACAAUCCUAGAGAUAGGACGUCCCCUUCGGGGGCACAGUGACAGGUGGUGCAUGGUUGUCGUCAGCUCGUGUCGUGAGAUGUUGGGUUAAGUCCCGCAACGAGCGCAACCCUUGAUCUUAGUUGCCAGCAUUCAGUUGGGCACUCUAAGGUGACUGCCGGUGACAAACCGGAGGAAGGUGGGGAUGACGUCAAAUCAUCAUGCCCCUUAUGACCUGUGCUACACACGUGCUACAAUGGACAGAACACAGGGCAGCGAAACCGCGAGGUUAAGCCAAUCUCACAAAUCUGUUCUCAGUUCGGAUCGCAGUCUGCAACUCGACUGCGUGAAACUGGAAUCGCUA
rnacentral:rRNA from 1 species